GAAGAAAAUAAGAAAAGGGAGCCGCACACGAUAGGAGGAGACCAAUUCCGUAGACGACUUAAGAUUGGAAGGGUUCGGAGGCAAUAAGGAAAGGAAAAGCGUUGGAGAAAUAGUUGUCUGACUUCGAUUCUUCGGUGGAGCAAGUGUACCAUCGACUUCGACUCGCCCUCAGCUCUAAUCAGUCUCC